rnacentral:rRNA from 1 species
UGGCUCCAGCAAGUCGUACCAAGGUAACGGCCGUCAGAGGUUGAAUCAUGGCCUCAGGACGAACCCUGGCGGGCGGUCCUUAACCCGAUCCAAGUCGGAACGAGUGAACCCCUUCGUUGGGGAUUAGGUGGGAACCGGAUGAGUAACCCCGUGGACAUUCUCGCCCUCCACGCUGGACCAGGCCUUGAAACCGGGUCCUAUUCCCGAAUAUGACCCUAUUGGCCAUCCUUGAUGGUGUAAAGCUCCGGCGGUGCAGGAUGAGCCCGCGGCCUAUCAGCUUGUUGGUGAGGUAACGGCUCACCAAGGCGACGACGGGUAGCCGGCCUGAGAGGGCGACCGGCCACACUGGGACUGAGACACGGCCCAGACUCCUACGGGAGGCAGCAGUGGGGAAUAUUGCACAAUGGGCGAAAGCCUGAUGCAGCGACGCCGCGUGAGGGAUGACGGCCUUCGGGUUGUAAACCUCUUUCAGCAGGGAAGAAGCGAAAGUGACGGUACCUGCAGAAGAAGCGCCGGCUAACUACGUGCCAGCAGCCGCGGUAAUACGUAGGGCGCAAGCGUUGUCCGGAAUUAUUGGGCGUAAAGAGCUCGUAGGCGGCUUGUCACGUCGGUUGUGAAAGCCCGGGGCUUAACCCCGGGUCUGCAGUCGAUACGGGCAGG